GUGCUCACUUUGGCAACACAUAUACUAAAAUUGGAAUGAUACAGAGAAGAUUAGCAUGACCCUUGCACAAGGAUGACAUGCAAAUUCGUGAAGCAUUCCAUAUUUUG
rnacentral:snRNA from 1 species